AAGUAUGUAUGCGUGAAAAAGAUAACCCUAAUUGCUACACGUAUUAGGCAAACACCGCGAGGCUGAUAGAAAGUGGUGUCUGUCGCGGGUUGACUGAAACUUCACUGCGCUUAAUUGGGCAGGAAACACCAAAAUUCACAUUCUAUACUAAGCCAGCCUUUGCAAUACAUGACGCGGCAGUAGUUCCAGCAGUGACGCAAGGAGCGCAGGCAUCCCAACCCUCUCAACCUGCCAACCCCGCCCCUCCACGUAUUCCAUCUCUGCCCGCUCACCUCGCGCCACAUAGGCGUCGUGCUGUGUGAUGGUGAGCCGCCGCACCAGCCGCCGCUUCUCACACAGCGACCGCAGCGACGCCUCCGCCUGUGUGUGCGUGUGUGUUUGGGCGGGGGGGGGAUGGGAUGGGGUGGGGGUGGUGGCAGUACUUACACCCCGGCAGCAGAUACAGGGCUGGGAUGGGGUGACCCCCACCUGCUGGCAGUUCACCUCGGCCUGAGCACGAGCUGACACAUUACGCACCUCGUCUGGAUGGGCUGACGACUCUUGCCAGUCCCGUUGGAAUGGACACGAGUACCGUUAUCGGACUGUCUUUGUCACCAAGCCCAAGCACAGCGGGUCCACGCAGCCCCCACCCGCCCCUUCCCCCACCCCACCUGCAUUGCCAGGUCCGGCCGCGCCGCCAGCAGCAGCUGGUAGGCCGCCCGCAGCCGCCGACACGCCAUGGCGCCGCUGGCUGCAGCCCGAAGGCCCUCCGCGCUGCUACAGCCGCUCCCGCCCGUAAUGCUACUGCCG
rnacentral:lncRNA from 1 species